AUGUUUGAUUCUUGUUGUUUUCGUGCAAACUUUGGCUCUGUUAUAGGACUAGUACAAAACUGGUUUUAUUUAUUUAUGGGCAGUCGGUUUUACAGGUUGGUGACUGACUUUUUGGAGAUUUUGGCACAGGGUAUUAUGUUUUGUUUUGUGCAGGUUUGGACAGCAAGUACAAUAAGUCUUUGGGCUAUUGUUUUGACAGUUUGUGGGGUCCAUUUUGCAGUAAUUGUGUUUGGAUGUGCAGCAUGGCAAAGUGGACAUAGCAGUAAGGCAAGCAAGGAGAAGCUACAAGUUUAA